rnacentral:tRNA from 1 species
GGCGACGUCGCCAAGUGGUAAGGCAGAGGUCUGCAAAACCUUUAUCAUGGGUUCGAAUCCCAUCGUCGCCUCUA